GGGAAUAUUUUCGAUAUCAGUCUGAAUAAAUUAAAUAAAUAUUAUAUACACAUAGCUAGAGAUCUAGGUCGGGGAUUGGAAAAAGAGCGCUUUGAAUUGUGGUAAAAAUUAACGUGUUCUGCUUUAACAUUUUUAUUGAAUAAUUUCAAAAAUCUUAAAAUCAUAAAUGACGUGUGUUAUUAACGAGAAAAAUCACCUGUGGGCCGUAUUUUAUCUUUGACGAUGAUAUUUUCUGUAUCACAUUGAUAAAAUUCUAAGAGCUGUAGAUUUUUACACUAAUUUAAGCAAAUUUGCAAGUUCUCUGAAAUUCGUGGGGCGCGCAAGCAAAUAUGCUGAACAAAAAUAAAAAAAAAAUAUUGAGCCCAGCACUCGCGGCUUUCGCGCUACUUUAAAAAGGUUUACAAUUUCUUAUUUCUUGGAGAUAAAUAAAUCGAUUUUUAUUUUUUACACACUCAUAAUGGGGGAAAAGGAAUAUAUGUUUUGAGUUCAUCAAGAUUUACGAGCAAUUUUAAUAAUGAAAUUAAAACUUCCGAUCAUUAAUUGUGUAAAGCAUGGAUAAAUAAGUUAAAUUUCUAUUUUUAAUAUUUAAUUAAUAACCGGUUUCAAAAGAAAUGAUUUCAUAAUUAUAAUCGCAGCUGGUUACGAUUGGCUCUACUGGUUGCUGCCCCGCCCACAUCGAGCAACCGGUUAAGCAGCAGCUGGAUGAUAAUAUUUUGUUCUUCAUCGCACUAUUCUGUCGCAAUUCGAAUAAAAAAUGGCCUUAGACAUUCGAAAAUCCAUUUUGUAUUGUAAAUUCUUUCAAUUUAUUCAGAAAAUAAGCCGUUUUCAUCUAAAAUUUUGCGAAAUUCUUUCAUUCGAGUUUGGGGAAGUACCGGUUUUGCAGUGCGCAGACGCACUCAUUCGUCAACGGCAAGCGCACCAGCCGGCCAGCCAACACCAACUCCAGCAGCAGCAGCCGGCAACGGUCAGUGGUGCAGUUUUGUUUACCUGGUUUACCUGCGGAAAUGGGACAAUGUUGCCCUUCGUGACCUCUGAAGGGCGUACCAUUGCCUACCGCUGCCAUCUGAGUGAGUAGCCAGCGUGUGCGUCAUGCUGGCCAAACGGAAUCGGAAGGAUUCUCGUCUCGCUCACAAUCAAGCAAAGAUUGAGAAAUCGUGACACCAAGUAAUAUUGAGACGGCCACGGCCCCAACGGAGAGCCCAUGAGCCCGCUGCGGAAUAAGGAAAAAAUCAAGAUUCAAUAUUUUUUUGCCCUGGCAGAGUGGUGGUUAGGCGCAGGGUCGAAGAAGAAGGAGAAGUAGAAUCAGCUGAAAAAGAACCAGCCUGUGAAGGAUCACCUGAUUCAGAGGCAGAGGAGGAGCAAUGUGAGGAAAAUUUUAAUUACGGCAUGUUUAAUCUUUACAAUUUAUAUUUUGAUAGAUUUUCUGCUAUCAUCUUUAUUUUUACGCUUAACAACAGUUGAUCUCGCUUUAUUUCAUUUGGAAAAUAGGAAUUAUUAUUUUGAAAAAAUUAAUUUGCCUAUUAAU